UUCCAUCUAUUCCAUUCCCCUUCUCUCCUCUCCCGUUCCAUCUCCGUUGAACUUGUGUUACAGGUACGUAUUCAAUUAUGUUAUCUCCCUUUUGCAUCAAAUGCCACAUUAAUAUCUCUCUCUCUCUCUCUUCUUCAAUAGUUAAUCAUCUCCUCUUCUGGAUUGUCCGAUAAAAAAUUUCGAUGUUUUUUUCUAAAGAUUUUCUACCUUUUUUUUAUGAAAUCUCAGUGUUUGUUCUUGCGUUUAAUGGCGUUGAUUCAUUCACCGCUUAUCUGUUUGGUUCUUUAGCGAGUCACAAGAAAGAGAACUAAAUCUUGUUGCGUCAUAGUAUGAAUUUCCUCUUUAGCUUAAUUCUCACUUUUUCUUUGUACAGACUUCGGUUUUUGAUACUUUUGCGUCAUAUUUAAUUUUUCUUCCAUCGCAUAAUUUAGUACAGCUUGUUGAUCGUAAUCAUAUUUUAAUUGCUUUUUCGUUUUUCUAUUGGAAUUUUCAGAUCAUAAAAAUACAUGUCACGUAUAAUCACGAUCCAGCAUUGAGGAAAAGCCGUUGCUUGUUUUCUCAGGUGCGCUAUGCUGUUUCUUUUGAGCUGAAAUCUAGGCUUCAGUUAGUCUUUUGUCCUAAAAUUACUUUUGGCUCACAAAGCGUUAUUUUGCCAAGUUGUUGGAGUCCCAUUCCUUUUUCGCCGAUGUCUAGAGACCAGAAGCAUCUUAAGUUAAACUUUUUAAAUAACGUUGUUAAUAAGUUUUGCUUAGUCGAAUCUGUGGUGGCUCCAUAUUUGUUAGGGCAUGUACACUUUAAUUUUCUUUGUUUAUUUGCAUCGUCCUUUUGGUUCAUCACACUAGUUCAAAGAAAACCAACAACAACAACAAUAAACUAAGUAAUUUUCUACAAGUGGGAUCUGGGGAGGGUAAGAAAUACCCAAUCUUACCCCAAUAAGAUAAAAAUAAGAACGAAACCAAGAAAAUAGAUAAACUACACGUAGUAAUAUCAAUCUAUCAAUAAAAGGAUAUCAUACUAACGCUAAUGCUAGCGAAUUGAGUAAGACCUAGAGAAACGCUCGACUACCUACUAGCCUUCUACCCUAAUCUUCGACGUCCACACUCUCCUAUCUAGGUCAUGUCCUCAGUCAGCUCCAGCUCCGCCAUAUCCCGCCUAAUCACCUCUCCCCAAGGCUCCUUAGGCCUACAUUUACCCCUCUUAAUACCCAUCAUGGCUAAUCUUUCCCACCAUCUAACUAGGGCUUCUAUGCUUUUCCUUUUAACAUGCCCGAACCGUCUCAACCUCGCCUCUCGCAUCUUAUCCUCCACAUGGGUCACUCCCACCUUAUUCCGAUUAACUUCAUUCCUAAUCUCAUCUAACCUGGUAUGCCCACACAUCCACCUUAACAUCCUCAUCUCAGCUACUUUCAUCUUCUGGACAUGAGAGUUUUUGACAGGCCAUCACUUUUCUCCAUACAACAUAGUCGGUCUAAUUACUACCUUGUAGAACUUACCUUUAAGUCUCAGUGGUACAUUCUUAUCACAUAAGACACUGGAAGCAAACCUCCACUUCAUCCAUCCUGCUCCAAUACGAUGUGUGACAUCCUCAUCAAUCUCUCUAUUACCUUGUAUUAUCGAUCCAAGGUACUUGAAACUUUCUCUCCUUGGGAUGACUUGUGUAUCAAGCCUCACACCUAUGUCCGCUUUCUAAAUAACUUCGUUGAACUUGUACUCUAAAUGCUCCAUCUUGGUCCUGCUCAGCUUAAACUCUUAGACUCAAGAGUCUGUCUCCAAACCUCCAGUCUGUCGUCAACACCUCCUCGUGUCUCGUCAAUCAGAACUAUAUCAUCCGUAAAUAACAUACACCAUGACACCUCCUGUCGAAUGUGUCGCUCAAUGUGUCCAUCGCCAAAGAAAACAAAAAAAGGCUAAGAGUUGAUCCCUGAUGCAACCCCAUCAUAAUCGGAAAGUGUUCUGAGUCUCCUCCCGCUAUCCUCACCCAUGACUUAGCUCCAUCAUACAUUUCCUUAAUUACUCUAAUAUAGGCUAUAGGCACACCUUUAACCUCUAAACACCUCCAUAGAACCUCUCUUGGGACUUUGUCGUAUGCUUUCUCUCAGUUUAUGAACACCAUAUGCAAGUCCUUCUUCAUUGUCCUAUACUGCUCCACCAAUCUCCUUACCAAAUAAAUUGCUUCUGUAGUCGAAUGAUCUGGCAUGAACCGAACUUGUUCUCGAAAAUAUACACACUCUUCUUCAUCCUCCCUUCCACCACCCUCUCCCAAACUUUCAUCGUAUGACUUAGCAGUUUGAUACCUCUAUAGUUAUUGCAAUUCUGGAUAUCACCCUUAUUCUUGUGCAACAGAAUCACCGUACUCCACCUUCAUUCUUCAGGCAUCCGCUUUGUUCUAAAAUUGAUGUUGAACAACCUACAGAGUUAUUCUAAGCAUGUCUUACCCGCGCUCUUCCAGAAUUCUACCGGGAUCUCGUAUGGUCUGGUCGCUCUACCCUUGCUCAUCCUACGCAUCGUCCCCUCGACCUCCCCCACACUUAUGCGACUACAGUACCCAAAGUCCCGAUGAAUCUCGACGUACUCCAGAUCACCCAACACAUAUCCCUAUCCCCCAUCAUUCAAGAGUUUACAGAAGUAUGAUUGUCACCUCCGUCUAAUCUGAGCCUCAUCUAUCAGCACUCUACCCUCCUCGUCUUUUAUGUACUUUACUUGAUCUAGAUCAGCGGCCUUCCUUUUUCUCACUUUGGCCAGCCUGUACAGCUUCUUAUCCCCGCUUAUCUCCCCAAGCUCGUCAUACAAACGUCCAAACAUUGCAGUCCUAGCCACAGUGAUCGCUAACUUUGUCUCCUUUUUAGCCUUCUUAUACCACUCUCUGUUGGUCCUCUUCUCCACCUCGUUUAUGCUCUCUUCUAGAUUUUAUAUUAAAUUUUUUAAUUAUUCCCAUUGCUAACACAAAUAUUCUUAUUCAUAUUUAAUAUCGCCACUCAAACAAUACAUAAAGUUAUACAUGUAUUUUCUUUUUUCUUAUAGCACCAACCAAAUGCUUCAUAAGUUAUCCAGUAAUUACUUGUAGCUUCUUCAAGGAGCUGGUCUUGGAUGUUAAAGGUAAGUUAAAGGACAAUACCUAGUUUGAAAUACAAGUUGUAGUUUUCAAAGAAUAGGUAACUUAACCUUUUGAAAUAUCUUUCGAAAUUCAAACUCUAAUUAACUUGUUUGUCGUUCUACAUAGAUGUAUUUAUUGAGGGAAAAACUCCUCAAUAAGAAUAUGCAAGUAGUUAGAUUCGUUAGCUUCCAAGAAUUUCAUGUCAACAACAACAACAACAACAAACUCAGUGUAAUUCCACAAGUGGGGUCUGAAAAAGGUAGAGUGUAGACCUUACCCCUACCUUAAGAAGGUAGAGAAACUGUUUCCGGUAGACCCUCAGCUCAAGAAUGAUAGAGAGGAAGGAGUAACAGCAAGCAACAACACCAGCAAACCAAUCAUAAAACCGAAGCGAAAGAAAUAAUAAAUAAUAACAAAAAUCUAAUAAUAUGAAAAUACAAGACUAACACUAAGGAAUGUAUUAGAACUACUGGAACGAGCAAGGACAACGCACUACUACCUAGCCAUCUAUUUUAACUAGUUACUAGUACGCGCGUUGCGCUUGUACCUUGUCUAAAUGAGUAAAAAAAUAUUUUGAAAAAGAAAAAAUCAUCUGUCAAUAUAUAAAGAUUAAACUAUACUAAUUUAUCACAAUUAAGUGACAAAAAAGUUAAAAAUAUAUAUAUUAAUUAACUAUGAUUCAGUAAUACUAUUAAAUACAAAGACAAAUAUCAUAAAUAUAAUAUGUGUUCUAAUAUUAUAAAGCAUAUUAUUUUUAUGCUUAGUUACCAGAUUUUAUAGUAACUACGUAAAAGGAAGUUCUUGUAUACAUAGACUAACGUAGAAUAUAUGAAUAAUACUGUUUUAAAACAAAAGGGAUCCUUUUCUUAUUUGAGGUAAAUUAUCAAGUGAAUUUAAACUUCUAAAUAUUAGGAUCUAAUUCAAUAAGGAAAGAUAUAAUAAUUAAAAUUUAGUUGAUUUUAAAUUCUUAAAUAUUAGGAAAAUAAUUUAAAUGACAAUUUUGUCUAGUGUGAAAUCUAAUUUUAAAGGGUAAAAAAAGCGAAUGACAUUUCGCUAAGGCCUUCGUGCUUUUAAUAUAGUAUAGAUUAUCAUCUUCCACACCUUCUUAUCCAGGGUUAUGUCCUUGGUAAGCUGGAGAAUCGACAUGUCUUUUAAUAACUUCUCCCCAAUAUUUCUUCGACCUGCCUCUAUCUCUCCUUAUAGGCCCUUCAAUACCAACUUCUCAUACCUCCUUACUGAGGCAUUUGUGGCUCUCCAUUUUACAUGCCCGAACCAUCUGAGCCUCGCGUCCCGCAUGUUGUCCUCUACAAGGGUCAUGCCCACCAUGUCACGAAUAACUUUAUUCCUAAUUUUAUCUAACCCGGUAUGCCCGCAUAUCCAUCUCAACAUCUUCAUUUCUGCUACCUUCAUCUUUUGGACAUGUGAGUUCUUGAUUGGCUAACACUCAGCCCCAUAUAAUAGUUGGUCUAACCGCCACUCUAUAGAACCUACCUUUAAUUUUUGGUGGUAUAUUCUUAAUACACAAAAUACCUGAAGCGAGUUUUUGUUAUAUCCAUCCCGCCUUAAUACGAUGUGUGACGUCCUCGUCAAUCUGCCCAUUUCUUUGUAUAACUAACCUAAGCUACUUGAAACUUUCUCUCCUAGGGAUGACUUAUGAAUCAAUCCUCACAGCUUCGUCCAUUUCCUGAAUCGCUCUACUUAACUUGCACUCCAAACAUUAUAUCUUGGUCCUUCUCAACUUGAAACCUUUAAACUCCAGGGUCUGCCUCCAAACCUCUAACCUCGCGUUCGAGUGAUGAAUCACUACUUAAGUUUUUUUGAACCCACUUUACUUAACAUGGAAGAAACAUGUCACUACUCUUAAGCUGGCUCCUUUCCUCAUUUGAUGAUAAUAAUUCGUUGUGUAGAUUGUGGGUUGUGUGAGUGUUUACCUCUCAAUCUUGUAUGAGCUAUGCUAAUGCAACUCGGGAUACAAUUGCAAAACACCAAAAGUGUAACCUCUUCCAUGGUGGAUUACCUGCAAAAAUGGACAUACAAUUAUAACCUUGCUGCAGCUACUCAACCAGUCUCUGAUGGAGGUUUGAUUCUCUACAUUUUUAGAGGUUUAUACCCUUAUUAUGAUGGAUUAGUCGCGUCCGCCACUUUGACCGUGUCUCUGUAUUGGGAAAAUCGAGUUUACAUAUUAAAGUAAUUGGAAGAUGACGUGUCAUGACACGAAGGCUGGUCAAAGAGUGAUGAUUGACAAAGAGGCACGAGUUGCAAUAGAUACGAGCAGAAGGUACAAAUAGAGGCACGAGCAGUUAUUCAAAAUAUUCAACGCUCGUACCUAUUUAUACUCAAAAGUCAAGGAGAAUGAAUCUAACAGCAUAAGAGAGUACAGAUACAAUAUUUAAUAAGCAGUAAAUACUUAAAACAUUAUAGAAUAUAAAUUACAAUGAUUAUGUAACGUAGGAGGAGGAUGUGGUUAAGGUACACAUAUAGGGAAUGCCUCCCACCGCCAAAUAUUCACUACCGCCUCCCGCACUCCUCCUUUAACCAACCUAUUUUUCUCAAGCAAGUAAGAUUGCAAAUUAAAGACAUGCUAUGCAAGAGGAAUAUAUUGCAUUCAUUUUGUAAUGCUUUCAUCUAACUUGUACUUUGGUACCUUCCUCGGGUGCUAAACACCUUGUUGGGUGUAGGUGAUCACUUCAAGUUGAAACUCAAUGUCGAUGGUUCCAUUGAAAGCUACAGAGCGAGAGUUGCAUCAAAGGAUUUCAAUCAAGAAGUUGGACUAGACUGUCAGGUCACAUUUAGUGUUGUUAAACCUACCACAAUAAGAAUUGUCCUCACUUUUUUAAAAAAAAUGAAGAAGGGUCCAUACGGAAUCAUUGACGAGACGAAAAAACUGGUUGGGGGGUACUAACUUGUGGUCUAAUCUAUAACAAUGUGGGGACUUAUGAAAGGAGCAAAGGAAGAUCAUGGCAGGUGAGGCUAGAAGAGACGCAAUUACCAAAAUCAGUAGGGAAGGAAACUUCGGGUUAAGACAAAUUUUGGAGCUAUCUUUCCAUGGUUUAAGGAGGCAUCAAUGAAAUGUGUUUAAAUAUGAUAUUAUGAUGAUGGAAAGUGAGUCGUGAAGAGGAUAUAAAUAGAAAAAAUUGAGAGAUUAAAGAAAUUUAGAGAUACAAGUUAUGAUCCAUAGCCCUACGGUGCUGAUUCAAUUACAAAAGUAUUAUAACGCAAGAUGUGUGUAAGGCACAUGUCAUGAGUUUGAGUUUGAAUGAAGGAUGAUGUUUGGUGUUUAAGUGAAGAAGGAUAGAAAAAGAGGGAGGCAGCUAAACUAGGUAAAAGAGAGACGAACACGUUUCUUAUCUCAAUUGGGUGAGAAGGAAUUUUGUUUAAAUUUCUCCUACUCAACUAGUAUCACCCAUUUGUCCCAAUUCAUGUGAGGGUGGUUGACAGGACACAACAAAGUUUAAAAGACAAAAAUGAUUUCUAAAACUUUUAGUCUAAAUAAAGAGAUAAAAAAAUUUGUAGCUAAAAGCAAUAUUCUAAAAGGCAGGGACGUGAGGCGAUGCGUUUUACCUCUGACGAGGCGAGGCGUAAGUUCUGAGACAUGGGGCGUAAGUCCCACGGAUCUUUAAAUUUUAUUAAUUUUAAGAUAGUAUAAAAUAAAAAAACAAUUAUAAAAUUACAUUAAAAUCACAAAAAUAUAACAAAUAAUAUAUUUAAAAUAUUUAUGAAUUAUAAUUCAACUAUGAAUAAUAUGAAAAGUAUGACAUAUAUCACAAUAUGCAGAUUAGCUGCAACGUCGUUACAACUCAAAUGUAUUCGAUAUGAAAUCUCAUAUGUAUCUCUCAAGGAGUAAUGAAUCUUGAAAGAAUUUCGAUAUUAUAAUUUGAUAUUUUUUUUUUUUAAAAAAAUACUCCGUUUAUUAAAUAUGCUUUCUAUUUGAAAGAGAAUUUAUGUAAAAACAUAAUUCACAAUUUAAAUACGAUUCUCUAGCAUCCUUUAUUUUUAAGUUUCAACAAGUUAAUAAAGUGACACAUAAUUCAUCAUAUAAUAGCGUGAUAACUAAUUAUUUGUAAAUAGUUACUAGCUAAUACUGAGAUAUUAAAAUAAUAAGUAUUGUAUCUCGUAAACGUGAAAAAAAUAAUAUUUAGUAAAAUAAUUAUAAAAAAUUAUGGACUAUUAUAUAAUAAAGACAUAACAAAAGUUAAUAAAUAAAUACUUUUUAAAUGAAAGAUUUAUUUAAAAUUUACUAUNNNNNNNNNNNNNNNNNNNNNNNNNUUUUAAAAUAAAGGCUAAAAGUUAUCUCGUUAAGAGUAAAAUGAGAAACGUAAAGUUAAUUAUUUUUUCUAGACGUACUGAUGGAGUACUAAUUUGUAAACUAUAGUAGAAGGAGGUGAGCGAUCAAUUUCUGCUCGGCCAAGAAAUUGAAGCUGCUAAAUGUUUCACGUAAUAUGUAACACUUACAUACAAUUGGUCUUUAAUUGACUUGAUUUCAUAUUUUUUAUGCUAUCCGUGGAAAACAACUCAAAUAAAAAAUAAGAUGAAUUAUGUUAAUAUGCUAUUUUAAAAAAUAUACACUUUAUUUUGUUUUAUUUUCUGUUUUAGCAGUCUAUAUUUAUAAUUACGAUUUUUUGAGUAAAUUGUUAAAUGUAUAUAUAAAAAAAAUUAGAUUCAAAUAAAAUUAAUACUCACCAGAUAGUCACAGACUCACAGUAAAACAGCAGCAGAUCCCGAGAGCUUUAGUGAAUUUUUUUUCAUUAUUUUCGAAAAAAUUUACUUUUUUUUUUUAAAUCAAUGUUUGGCCAUAAAAUUUUUAAUUUUUCACUUGAAGAUGAAUUUUGAAAUUUUUCGAAAACUUCAAAAAGUUGUUUUUCAAAUUUUUCAUUCAGAUCACUCAUAAAAAUUAAAAAACAAUCUAAAAUUAUAUUUAUGUCCAAACACAACUCUAAUUUUCAAAUACCAUUUCCAUUUGGAAAAAAAAAUUUACAAUUAAUUCUUAUGUCCAAACGCCCUCUCCGAGAAGCACAAGAACAUGGUUUUCUCAAUAAAAUAAUCACCAGUUGGGCCACCGUGAAAUAAACAGCAGCAGUCCCCAGAGAAUCAAAACCAGUUUCCUGAAUGAAAAUACCCAAACCAAAUAUAGUGGGGGCACCCCCUACCCACCCCCAAUUUCUCAUCUCAAGCCCCUGCCCCACUCUCUACUCCGGGUUCACGCAGAUAUUUUUCAUUGUUCUCUCCUCUCUUUCCGUUUCCAUAAACUUAUCUGGUAGGUAUCUAUUCUCCCGUUUCUCUUUCUGCUGAAAACGCCAUUGAAAUGACUCUUAUUUUUCUUUCAAUUCUCAGUGCAUCUUCAUUCAUCUUCUCCUCAAAUUGUCCGAUUAACUUUUCGAUCACUCACAACACUAUGAAAUUGCAAUCAUUUUGGCCAUUAAUGGCGGCGGUUCAUUCACUUCUUUUCUGUUUUGUUCCUAAGAAAGAUAGAAAAAAAUCUUUUUUUAAUAUCAUAUGCUAAACGCAUUUUCACCUUUGCUUAUAGACUGGUUGCGUUUUGCGACACUUUUGCUAUAUACAUUUCAUGUUUUUUUUUCAUCAUAUAAUUUUGUUCAACUUGCUGAUCGGAAUCAUUUUUCGUUUUGCUUUUUCAUCUGGAACUUCUUUCAGAUCAUCAAGUUUUCGAAUGAUACGAUAUGUAAUCACUCCCAGCCAUUGCGAACAUGCCGUUGCUUGGUUUUUCAGGUGGGCAAUGCUGUUUCUUUCAUAUUUAUUUCGUAUUUAAAUUAAAUAUACGUUUCAAUUAGUUUCUUCUUUCUUCUUUGCAAUUUAUUUUGGUUCAUAAAGUUUUUCCUUGCCGAGUUAUUGAAGUUUCGUUUCUUUACGAGGUCCAUAAGCAUCUUAUGUUGGUUUUAAUGUCACAUUUGAUGUACUGUUGCUGAUUAAUUUCGCUUUGGAAUUUCAUAAAAAGAAGGGAUUUUAACACAAAUAGCCAAAGAUUCACUGUUUACUUUUUCUAGUUGGUAUACAUAGAUUAUACAGUAAUUAUACACAGUUAUGCACAUAUGAUACAUGAAUUAUACAUAUAUUCUAUAUCUGUCUGGCUAGUUUUAGUUUAAGCGAUUAGGUGGAGGCUAUUUGGGUUAAUUCUUCUAAAAAGAAUCACUUUACUGUUUCUCGGUCGAAUCUGUGGUGGCUCCAUAUUUGUUAUUGCAUGUACCCUUGUUUUUUGGUUUCUGCUGCAUUUUCUUUUUUGGCACUAAUUCAUCCCAAGAAAUAAUACUAGUAGUUACUUUUACCUUAUGGCAUGUGAAAUAUGCUUCCGACCUCUGUGAUAUACUCUUAGUGCUGCUGUCUUAUGGCUUCUCCUGGGAAUUGUGUUAUGAUCUGCAUUCCAUUUUGCCUUCCUGUUAAUGUUGACAUAAAUUUUGGUGUUAUUGAUCUAAAGUGUAUCCACGCCACAUCAUUUAAAAUACAGAUAGCUAAACACUAUCAACAAGAAAUUGACCAUUUUACCAGUAUAAUGGCCUACAGUAGAAGUUGAACUGAAAUACCACUUGGCAAUCUAAAUAAAAUCUAGUAACACCAUGUUAAUUUUUACCCAUUACUCUAGGAAAAUAAUGUUUAACAUUAACUAGCUUUGUUCCUCUAGAAUUGUUUAGAGAUCAUAUUCAAAGCGAUUUUCCUCGUGAAAUGGCUUGGCAACCUACUUUUUUGUAUUUAAACACAUGUUCUAACAUAAAUUAAGGUUCUUAAAAAAAAAAUUAGGGUUUUCAUUUUACAUUUCAAUGAGAGACCAAUAAACUCAUAUUCCCUCCGUUCCAAUUUUAUUUUCUUUUUAGUCAUUCCAAAAAGACUGACCUCUUUCUAAAUUAAAUGUGACUUCUCAUUUUUACCCUUUUUGAGAAGCUUAUGUUGCCACAAAAAUGCUCCGGCAUAUUUAAGAUCAAAAGUUUCAAAAGUAUUAUAGCCACACAAAUGUUAUGACAUAUUUACGAUCGGAAGUUUCAAAAAUCGUCUUUUCUUUCUUAAGCUAUGUGGUUGAAAAGGAGGAAGUAUUUGACAUGAGCCUACAAAAACAGAAGUGAGUAGUUGAGGAGCAUAUGAGAGAAUUGAGCAGGGCAAAUGAAAAAGUUUAAAGAGAGCAAAGUAUUUAGAAUGCAAUAUAUUAUGAUCCAAAAAGUAUAAGUUGUUAAUUCUAAUUAUAAAAAUAUAAGUUAUGGAUCCAUGUGGGAUUCAUAGGGAUGGCUAAUAGGAGAAGUAAGAGAUAGAUAGAGCGGGGUGAGAGGAGUGAAUGCCUAAGUAUAAGGGCCAUUAUCAAGGUGGGGUUAAAGGAAAGAUGUGUGAUUAGUGUGCUCGCAAGAAAUGAAAACGAAAAAAUACCAGAGUCAAUUAUCAUAAGUGUGUGAAAACAUAAGAGUGAGAAGUGAAAUGAUAUGCUUAGGAGGAGAUAAGAAGGGAUUGUGGUGUUAUAAGACAUGUCGAUGUUGAAGUUUCAAGAUGUGAGGAAGGAGAUUCCACAAUUAUUGUAAUCUUUGAAAGUGUGGAUAGUUCAGUCGAGUGAGAUUGAUGGGUCGGCAAGUGAGGGGUCAAAAUGGAGUUUUGAGAGGAGAUCUCAUUGGUGAUGCUAGGAUGGGGUAAUGCGAGAUAGAUCGGGAUUUCAGUGCAAUAAGACUCCUGAAGGAAAGAGAGGAAUGUGAGGCCAGCGUUUAAAUCCCAACAUAGGCAAAAAUAGUAGGUGAUUAUUCUCCUAUACAUGUGCUUAUAGGAGAUGACGGAAUGGCAGUUACCUGAUGGAUUAGUCGAGUGCAUGCGAACUGGCUUGAACCUUGAUGUUUUAAACGGAAAGAAAGAGAUGGUAUGACGAUCCUUUGGGCAAUGGGAAAUUCACGAUGGUAAUCAACUCUCCCAUUUUUUGAUAGGUCCACAACUGAAAAGUCAAUCAAGGCUCGACAAGUUUCUCAUCCAACCGUAUGGGAGGGGAUGUUGCUAAUAUUUAUCCAAAUUGCUUCUUCUCUAAUAUUAAACCCUAUACUGAUUUUGUAGAUUGUAGCAGAAUAAGGAGUACCCUUCCUAACAAUUAGAAGCGGCCAGUGCUGGAUGGAUGGAGGGAGUACCAUAUGCAAAGGGUUCCUCUUUUUCUCCGGCGAAGAAGUUGAAGCGGCUAACAAAUUAUUUAAGAUGGACUGGAGAAGUACUUUAGAGGAUAAAAAUAUAACAAGGGAACUGAUGAAUGAAUUUGGACAAUUGGAGAGGAAAGAGAGAGGGUGCUUAUUAAGAGGGAAAAAUUAGGAAAUAUGAGGUAAAAGAGUAAUUAGCUAAGAUGACAGUCACUCAAGCAUCAAAAGGAGAUAAAAUUUGAGGAUAUUGUGGUUGAAGAAGGGUGAUUGCAACAUAAAUUCUUUUUAUCUGUUAGCAAUUGCUAGUCGGAGAAGGAAUUUUAUGGACACAAUAAAGGUGAAAUAGGUAGAACAUGGAGAAAAAGGAAGUAAGAGGAGUUAUUGAGUGAAGAUAAUGUGGGCAUAAAACUCUAAAUUAAAGAGAGUGGAUUUUAGCAACAUAGGGAGAGAAGAAGCAAUCAGUUUGAGAGGGAGUUCUUACUGUUAGACGUUUGGGGGGCUGUUGUUACUGUUCAUGGAAGUGCUCAUCAAAGCUACAAAUAGAGUUGUGAUUGGGGGUUAUCUAAGAUCCUUGUAGCUAGCAUGGAAGGCUGGACCAAUGUAGGGAUGUUUCAUCUUCUCUUGCAGACAGUACUCUUGCAUAUUGACCCCGAGGCGCAUCAACUCGCUACUUGAAAAGCACAUAAUUAUCUAGGUAGCUUUGAGUCUGAAGAUAGACAUGAAGGCGUUGAGAUAAGUCUAGUGGGUAAAGAAGAUAACAUAGAGCAACUAAAUGAGAUCCUAUUGUAUGGUUGGUUCCCCUUCUGUCAAACUACCUGGGACUAAAUGCAGCUUAUUAUCUAGUUCUUAUAGCCUUUCUAUGGGGUAAAUGGUAAAGUUACAUGGGUAUUGCAUGGUAUUCUUUCUCCUUAUCUUUAUAGGAUUAGAGCUUUGAUUUGAUGUGCUUUUUUUUCUUUUUCAUUGGACAGUUCUUUUUGGUCCUGAUUAUGUUGAACUGUCAUAUUUUCCUAUCGUUAAACAUAGUCUUAUUUUGAAAUGGAUUUCUACCAUACAUUUGGUGGCUAGUGGGCUGUAUUAGCAUUUUGGUAAAUGACAAGGCAGUUAGUAUUUAGUCCUAUUUGAGCUGGUCUGGAUUCCAUUCCAUAGAUAGUCCUGGAUGUGAUGCAAAAUCUUUAGUGCAUUCGUUUACUCAUAUCCUUGAAUAAAGUUCAUCAUACAGGUUACUAGUGAUUUUAAUUGAAUAAUUCCUCUGUUAUAGAGUACAACGGCUAAAGUACCUAAUUUUUGGUGUGGAUUUAACCAUAGGUUCUUCAAGUUUUUGAAAUAAAAUUUACAUAGUUGGAAACUACAUAAAAGGCACUAUAGGUCACAAAAGUUAAUAAUUCAAAAUAUUUGAAAGGUUUAAAAAAAGGGGGUUGUGGUCAAAGAACUCCCAGAAUAUGAAAAGUGGCCUUUUUUCCCCAAAAAAAGAAAAAGAAAAAGAAAAAUGUGAUAGAGGAAGUAAUAGGUUUUAGAGGGAUAGAAGAAAUAAAUUAGAUACAUUUUUUACUGAUAUAAUUCAGUUACAGUUGCUUUGUUUAAUGCAACAAAAGAUGACUUUUUACCACAUCUUCAAUACAAUAGAUUUCCAUGCCUUAAUUGUGAAAAUAUGAUUCAAGAAUAAAUAAAAUGGUUAUGAUAGACAUCAAGAUGACAAGAUCAUAAUGCUAUUGCUAUACAUUGUUUGUUUCUAUGCUUUUGAAUAAAUGUGUGUGCAUCAAUGCAUGGGUGGAGCUAUGGUGGUGGAAGGGGGUUCCCUUCACCGGAAAAUUACAUUGCAUAUAUAAGGUCAAAUAUUUUAUGUAAACAUAUUAGGUAUUGAAUCCCCUUGGCCUCGGUGCAUGUCUACUUUUUUUGUUUUUUGAAUCUCCUUAGCGGAAAUCCUAGCUUCGCCACUUAUGUUACCAUUUUUUUUUUUAAAAAAUCCUAGCUUCGCCACUUAUGUUACCAUUUAAAAAAAAUAAAUCCUAGCUUCGCCACUUAUGUUACCAUUUAAAAAAAAAAAAAUCCUAGCUUCGCCACUUGUAUUAGUACUCUCUUACAAACAUAUCACCAUAAUACAUUUUCUUUUCUCUUUCUUUUCUUUUUGUAGAGUAUAUAUCUGCCUCUCAUAUUUGUUUGAGUCUGUGCCUCUUAUAUCAAGAUGGUUCAAGUCCCAACUCCUCCCCAAUUGUACUUCACUCCCUUCUUUUUUCUGUCAAUCUCCUUUUUUGUGAAAAAGUGAGCUCGUUCACAAUAAGCGUUAAGUUUUGGGAAGUAAUAAGCGGGGCUAGCUUACGGUCUCUGGUUCACCUACCUUGAGUAAUGCCAAUUUUUUGGAAUGGAUGAAGUGGGUUAUAACAUAUAUAAAGUUUAAAAAAAUUUCUGAAGCUCUUAAAGAAAGGGGAAACAAAGCUUGGUGAUUUGACCUCAUACUAAAUUGUAAUGGCGCCUCAAACUGAAACUUUUGGCAGUACAAAUGAAGUUCAGGAAUAAGGUUACUACACUAUUUCCUUGCUUGUCCCGUUAGUAGAAUAACAUAUUAAUGCUAUUGUCGUAACAGAGCAUACUAGUAUAUUUACUUUUCUGUAGUUUUAUUUACUUAGACCCUCUAAAUAAGAUUGCACAGUUGUUAUGUUGCUAAAGUUCUCAUUAUGACCUAAAAAUUUUCAUGUUGACCUUCAAUUAAACCAUGAUAGAACUGAAAAUAAAGGAUUCAAGUGGCUUAACUUAGCUUACUAUAUAUAACUGAAAAAAGUACAAUUUGAAAGAAUCUCAAUAUUGGCAACUCCAAGAGAGAACCAUGCCAUCUUACUGAAAUAUGGUGUAUAGAUCCUUGCUCUGUACAAGGGCUAUCCUUGUCCGGCCUGUCAGGGAAUUCUUAAUCUUGUUGCUACAUUGAUGUAAAGUGUUAUUUAGUUGAGAUACUGCAGUAACACUAGAUGGUCAAUUCUUUUUCCUUGAGCCGUGUCAGUUUCCUCUGAAUUUACUCGAUUCUGCAUCUUUAUGAACCUUACUACACUAGCUGUCUUCAUUUUUAUCCAAGUGCUAAGCCAUUAUGAAACCUUAUCUACGCCUCUUUUGUUUCUAUUUGUCUUGAACUGAGAAUCUUUGACUAAAAGAGAUUGUUUAAUUAUGUUUUAUAUUCUCAGUGUUUGAAAUUGCUGCUGCUGCCAUUAUUGAGCUUUGGUUGUAAUAAGUUUUCCAACCAUUCUUGGUAUUGGCAUUGUAAAAAGAUGCUCGAUGUGCUGAUUAUUCCACUAAAAACUAAGAAGAAACUUCUCCUUUUUGUUUAUUUUACACAAUUUUCUGGAAUGUCCCGAGCAGGUGGGAUCAUAUUCUUUGGUAACAUUGCAUGCUUGCAGUUUUGCUGUUUGAAGAGAAAUUCAAAUUUCUAGUUUUAAUUCCUUUACCUUGUCAAUAUGUAGUACCUGUACACACUAAACUUUGAUAAGCUCCGUGAAGUUUUUGCCUUUUUUUCAAUUCCCUAGUCUUAUCCACUACCCAAUAUUCCUUCAUUCACGUUCAUGUAAACUACAUCCAGAUAGCAGUUGAAUAGUCUUUUGUGGUUAAGACUCUACACCUUUUAGAUGACUGUGUUCUGCCUAUGUGUAUUUCCUGAAGUAAUACAGAAGACUUCUGCCUGAGAUGAACUUUAUGAUCAGACAGUUCAUGACCUAAGCAUGAAUGCUUUCUUGUUAAUUUAAGUGUGCAAUCCAUUGCUGUACAAAUAGAUAAUUUGGCGAGACUGUCUUUUGUAUUAUAGAAAUUGUUUUUGAUUGCGCAUGCCAUUCAUGUCGGUUUAGCAUUGGGAUCCUUGUGAUCCAGAAAUAACUUGUUUAAGAAGCACUUACUAUAUUCCUUAUUUAAGAAAAAAACAAACGCUUACUGUAUUUGGCAGCAAAGAAUGUAGUACUCAAAAUUGUGAAGCAUGUUUCAUAUAUUCUUUCCUGAUAUAAUUCUUUCUAUACAUAUUUAGUCUUCAGGCUCAAGAUCAUUCAUUCUUAAAUUCCCGGGAAGAGCAUUACUAAUAUAAAUUCGUAUUGUGUAUUUUUCUUUUCCAGUUGAAUGCUGAAAUUUGACAUUGGUGUGUAAUGAACUUAGUUUGUCCUUGCUGAAGACUAUUGCAUGCAAAGCAUAUUGAUGCAACUUUGAGGUAUGUCUUAAUGUAUUAAGUUGCUUAGCUCAGAUUUGUACUGUUUGCAUGUGGUGUGUUUCUCAAGGAAUUUCUAUGAGGAGCUACUGUUUUGUAAAACCUUUUCUGCUUACAUUUCUUCGCUCUUGCUCCUGUUUUAAGUUGUCAACUAUUUACAAUUAUUUCAGAAGUGUCAAAUCAAUUAUAAUCCUAGCAUAUAUGCAUACACAUCAUAAGCAUCAAGUGUCGAGAAAGAUAAAGAACUUAGAGAUACUGUGCCAAUGUAUUCUUUUAUUUGUUGUUAUUUUGACUUAAGUAGCUGUGCUAGGGAUUACCUCACACUUGUCUAACUUGCUGACAUUAACCAUAUGAACGGUAGAUUUUUCCUGACAUCCCUGCUUCUCUACCACUACUACCAUUACUAAUUGAAACAUAACUUUGUAAGCACGGCUGCUUCUUCAACACGAGAACUCAAAACUCUUACGAGUCUGGUUUUCCCGCUAAUGCAGCUGUAGCCUGCAGCAUGUUCCAGUUAGAUGAUAGUCAAUGAUCAAGGUCGUGAGCUACCAUUGUGCUUCCAGAUAAAGAAUAUGAAUAAGAAAUUACCCCAAUUCUGUAGUUCCUGAUGUGCCAUAGUUUUGUUGCUGUGGCUGGCUAAGCUGGAGAUGUACAGGAGUGUGGGGGUCUUCAUUAAUGCUUAAACUGUUCGGAGCAAGGGCUAUUCCGCUCACUCCAUUUGCAUCUCUAUUUCCAUAAACCUGUAAGUUCAACACAAAAUGUAGAAACAAUUUGCUAGAGUUCUAAGUAGAAUGGUGAAACUUUUUUACUUGGUAUAUGAAUAUGGAAGGAAAUAAUUGUUCUUGAAGCGCAGUGAAAGCUCUUAGUGAUGUACAUGGAUACCCUCUUAUACAAUUCCAUAUUUUCUUGACGAAUUAGGUUUACCUUCUUAUAUAGUUCCAUGUUUUCUUGAUGGAUGAGGUUUCCCUGCAAGGAAAAAAGUUAAUUUAGCUUCUUUAAAAGUUAUCCUUUUUAGAACAAAUUGAAAACAAAAGUCACUGCAUUUUAUGUUGAUUGACCUUUCGGUUUAGUUCUUGUAUCUCAUCAAUCAGAAUUUCAUCCUGUAGAAAUGAGAGGUUGAGUUAGUUCUUCUUUAGUUCAUAUAAGAUAGUGCACAUUUGAUGGAUCUGGAAGUUUCGUACCUUUCUCACACGGACACCACGGAGACUCAUUUCCAGUUGGUUCUCCAAGUUCUGUAAAUCUUUGACGCUCAGACCAGAAAGCUCUUCACCCAUCAUUUGUCUAUAGUGCAGAAAUAAACUGUUAACAAACACGCGACUUCAACAGAAAAGUUGAUACCUGACUGACUAUGAUUUAGAUAUACAUCCAUUUCUAACAACUGUUGCUUCUCGCUUCUUGGGGGGGGGGGGGGGUUGAUGUUAAACAGCUCGAGGGUUUGGGCUUUAGCAGAAAUCUAUAACACCAUUUGAGAUGGGCUUAUUAUUGGAUUUUCACUCCCGACAUUAAGUGGUUUCUGAGUUUAUCUAGUGUAAACACCUCUACAGAAACCUUCAGUAAAUUGCAUGAUUCACUGCAGUAUAUUUUGCAAAAUGUAGUAUGCUUUAGAAGUCCAUGCUAAUACUUCUAAUCAUGAGAGAUAAGAGAUACUGGGUGCUGCUUGAUACUUUAACGCCUUGAUGUGAGGGAUGAUAGUAAGACAUUGUAAGGAUUAUGCUCACGGUCUUGAAUGUCUCAUCAUUUUGAUUGGAAUACCAGUAACCUCAAAUAAUCUCUGAAUGUCCUUUCUGUUAGCACUUACAGAUAUAACCUUCUUAUGGAGGAUCUAGAGUGGAUAUCUCUGUUUCAUCUGCUAUUUUGAAAACUGAAAAUGCUACCAGCUAUCAAGUGGCACUUCCUAGCAAGGUGGCUGAUAGUUUAACCCUUAAUUUCUUGCAUAGCAAAAGCUUUUUUAGGGAAAUUGGUGGUUAACCUAGGGAUUGCCUAAAGCAAUAAAAAACAGAAAUGAGAAAAAGGAACGAGACAAGUUAACCUUUUUAACAAUAAAAAAACAAGUCGACUAUUUCAUUUCCGUAACUAUAAACUAAAUGACCUUAUCAAAAAAAAAAACUAUAAACUAAAUGAAAUGACAACAAACAUUUAGAAAAUGACAACAAACAUUUAGAAUUAGUCAACUAUUAACUAAUUCAAAUGAAAACUUGACUUCUGGGCUCCAAAAUGAUGAAGUAAGUUGAAAUGGAAAGGUCUUCAACAUAUAAUUUAGGAGGCAAAGUACUAAUAGAACUUUAGGAUUGAAAGAUAGAUAGAAAUGAGAGGAAAGAAGAGAGUACAACAACAACAACAUACCCAGUGUAGUCUCACAAGUGGGGUCUAGGGGGUUGUGUGUACGCAGACCUUACCCUUACUCUUAAGAAGACAAGAGGCUGUUUCUGGUAGACCGUCGGCUCAGGAAAGAUAAAGGGAAGGGGCAAUAACAAGAAAACCAAUCGGAAAGCCGAAGCAAAAAUACAAAACUAACACUAGGUAAUGCAAUCAGAAAACCGAAGUGAAGGCAACAACAAGUAAUAACAAAAGUCUAGGAAGACGAAAAUACACGAAAGACGCUAAGUGAUGUACUAGAGCUACUGUAACAAACAAGGACAUCGCUCGACUACCUAACCUUUUACCUUUAUUCUCAACCUCCACACCUUCCUAUCCAUGGUCAUGUCAUCAGUAAGCUGGAGCAAUGUCAUAUCUUGCCUAAUCACCUCUUCCCAUUACUUCUUUGGCCUGCCUCUACCUCUCCGUUGGCUCUCUAAGGCCAACCUCUCACACCUCCUCACCGGUGCAUCUGUGCCUCUCCUCUUCACAUGCCUGAACCAUCUAAGUCUUGCCUCCCGCAUCUUGUACUCCAUAGGGCGCAUCUUGUACUCCAUAGGGGCCACGCCCACCUUGUCCUGGAUAACUUCAUUUUUAAUUUUAUCUAACCUGGUAUGCCCGCACAUCCAUCUCGACAUUCUCAUUUUAGUCACCUUUAUCUUUUGGACAUGAGAGUUCUUGACUGGCCAACACUCCACCCCAUACAACAUAAUCGGUCUGACCACCGCUCUAUAGAACUUACCUUUAAGUCUUGGUGGCACAUUCUUAUCAUAUAAAACACCGGAAGCGAGCCUCCAUUUCAUCUAUCCCGCCCCAAUACAAUGUGUGACAUCCUUGUCGAUCUCCCCAUUCCCUUGUAUAACUGACCCAUGGUACUUGAAACUUUCUUUCCUAGGGAUGACUUGUGAAUCAAGCCUCACGCCUUGGCCCACUACCUGUGUCGCACCACUGAACUUACACUCCAAGUAUUCUGUUUUGGUCCUGCUCAACUCGAAACCUUUAGAUUCCAGGGUCUGCCUCCAAACCUCUAACCUCUUGUUUACAUCACCUCGCGUCUCGUCAAUCAGUACAAUAUCAUCUGCAAAUAACAUGCAUCACAUCACCUCCCUUUGAAUGUGGCGCGUCAGUGCGUCGAUCGCCAGGUUAAAUAGAAAUGGGCUGAGGGCUUACCCCUGGUGCAACCCCAUCACAACUGGGAAGUGUUUCGAGUCCCCUCCCAGUGUCCUCACACGAGUCUUAGCUCCAUCAUGCAUGUCCUUAAUAGCCCUAAUGUAUGCAACUGGAACCCCUCUAGUCUCCAAACAUCUCCACAGAACCUCCCUCGACACUUUAUCGUAAGGCUUCUCUAAGUCGAUGAACACUAUAUGUAAAUCAGAGGAAAGAAGAGUAGGUAAUUUAAUUUUUUUGUUUGCUCGGAAUGGGUUUUUAGGAAUAGGAAGGGAGGAGGGAAGAGGGAAUUAAGUUCGUUAACACAAUGUUCUGUCCAAAAGUGGGUGAAACCAAGAAAAACAAGACAUGCUGUAGUGAAACUUUUGUAGCAUUAAAAGAAAACUCAGGAUUAUUAACAAAAUAACUAUUAAGGGAAUUAGUGUCAAUUGAUACACAUUCCUUUUAUAUUUCCUUACUCCAUCACAGGAAAGUAACAAUCUGCUCUCCCUUUCUUUUUCUCUACAUCAUCUCCAUUCUUCUCUUUUCCCUUUUCUCAAUUCAAAAGAUCAGUGUUAAAUAGUUUAAGUAGAGUAAUGGAGGAAAUAAUUCAUUUAACCUAGUUACUUUGUUGAUGAAUUCAAUAAUAUACUGAUAUUAUGGGCAGAUUCCCAUAUGUAUCCAAAUCCCUGCAAAGAGCAUUCGGUCAUCAAUACUGAUUGAGACACCAUACAUUAUCUAAAAACAGUACGUCCCUUAUGUAAAUACUGCUUAUUUGCACAUGAAGCACAAAGUGACAGGGAUUGUCCAUUUUCCUCUCAAAUUCUUUGUUGUUAGGAUAGCUCCUUGUGUUACUAUCGGUUUAAAAGCACGCUUCCCAAAUGCUGUAGGGAUCCAUAUUGAAGAGUGAGGGAAGUUACCUUUUCUUUAGCAGUCCAUUAUAAAAUGAUUUCACUAUGAACAUAACAUCUUUCUGGCCUUUCCUGUUUCCAGCUACCUUUGUCCAUAAAUGAUAUUUUUGCUUGUACGGUAAUGUAAGCAAACUAUUAAGCUGUUUCAUCGUCCAAUCCUUCACUCAAAUGUAGUUUCUAUAGAAUUUCCUCAUUCUUUAUAAUUGGGACGAGUGUUAAUCUCUGCUGGCUGAAAGUAUUGAAUAUGAUCAGAAAACUUAACAUAAAAGAAUAUGACUACAUUGUCUCUAUUUCCAGAAAUUGAUUCUGGUUUCAUUACCUCCCUUCUAAUUUGACACAUCCAUAGAAUCUCUCCACAUUUUCACCAUAUCCUCCAUAGAGUUACUCCAUAUAGCAUGGAUAAUCUGAUUGGUCCUAAUUAUCCCACUUGAUCUACAUACUUUUUAACUAUGAUCGCUCUCCACAAUGGUUGAUUUCCAUGCGAAACCCCCAAGUCAACUUCCCUAGUUGAGUUCUAUGAACAUUCCAUCUCCCUAUCGUGUCCCAUAAUAGAUUCGUUUACACUUUUUAACCUUUUGCCAUGAUUCCUGGUACAUAGUAAGUUGACAGAUUCGAAAAAUUACUCUUUGAUAAUGGUCUCUCUCUCCCUUUUAAGUAAGUAUUACUUCUACCGUCCUUUAGUUUCUUUUUGGUUCUCAACAUUCUCUUUCAUAUUGCAGUCUUUGUAAAUCGUACUGGUAUAGUCAAUAUGGAUACAUAGUAAGUUGGCAGAUUAAGCAAAUUUCUCUUGAUCGCUGUGUCUAUCUCACUUUUUCAAGAAGUAUUUCUUCUACCAGCCUGUUAGUCUCUUUUUGACUCUCUCGACCAUCAGUUUUUUUUCUUUGACAAUCCUUGAAAGUCGCACCCAGCGGUAGUAUUGAUAAGUCAUCUUAUGAUGGGACCCAUACUGCAACUAUGGAUCUCCACCAGCUAUUUAAUGCUCUUCGCUUCAUCAAUCUUAGAGUUCCCUGAGACCACAAUAGUAGAGCUGAUUUGCCUCGGUAAUAACACAAAAUGUCAUCUGCAUAUAGUAAGAUAUAGUAGAUAAUACACUUGUAAACUAUCUUUCCUUCCCUACAAGCUGUGAAGCCCCAUAAAUAACCCCUGUCCUUAUUCUCCAUCUUCUUGUUGAAUAUUUCAAUGAUCAGUAUGAACAAUGUCAGGUGUAGGGUUUUUAAAGUCUUGCUUAAGGCGCAGUUAAGUCUUGAAGCUCAGUGAAAUCCAAUUUGUGGGAUUCACCUCCCAUGGUUGGCACUUUAGUGUAGGUACUAUAAUAUGUGCUUCUUCACCUAUGAGCUCCAUCUUUAAGAGCAUUGCACUAGACAAUAAAUAGAGUUGACAAAGUUAUAUUAAUUGUUAAGAAAGCCUUAUGAAUGAACUUUUAGCGAUUAGCAAUAAGAAAUUAGAAGCUGCACCAAGGGUGUGGCCUAGUGGUCAAUGAAGUGGGUUGAACACCAUGAGUUCUCUGGUUCAAUUCCCAACAGAGACAAAACAUUAGGUGAUUUCUUCCCAUCUGUUCUAGCCUUGGUGGACAGAGUUACCUGGUAUCUGUUGCUGGUGGGAGGUGGCAGGUAUCCCGUGGAAUUAGUCGAGGUGCACGCAAGCUGGCCCGGACACCACGAUUAUAAAAAAAAAGCAAUAAGAAAUUAGAAGUUCAAUAUAAGAAAAUUAGCCAUUAAAAACAUAAAACUAUGUUUUUCAUUUAAAUAAGAAGUUUAAAAUGGUUUCUGAGCUUACUUAACAUGACUUUUACUUCAUAUAUACAACCUAAUUCCAUUCUUUCGUACAAAGAACUAAUUUUUUUUUUUGUAGUUACAUUUACUUGCUUUACAUUUUUUUAUUAGCGCUUUUGUACGUUAAAACCCAUACUUCGAUUGCACUUUAAUCUUAAAGCCCAACGAACUUUAGCACUUUUUGCUUUUGACUACUUUGGUAAGGUGAUCACCUUGUCAUAGACCUCUUGAGCUUCCAAAGAAACCUUUGGGAUUCCGUUUACUAGACUGAGAACUUGAUAGUGGGCAUCAGAAAGUGGAUCAUUGUUUUCAUCUCUCCCAUCCCUUAUUCUCCAUAACGAGGUCCAGAAGUCAUGCUUUUUAUGGAUUACUUUACACAGUACUCGUGUCUCUCUACUCUUCCGUUCUAGCUCAGUCACUAUAUAAGCUCCUUGUAUAACUUAAAUAGCAGACAAAAUAGAUUUAAGGGCCCAAAUAAUAAAACAAUUCUAACAACGAAAAUUUCCACUUGUGAAACAAUUUGACUCCUAUGAUGUAGGAACUCAAUGAAAAUUACUGGGGUACUUUCUUCUGAAAUAAUUUUGCUCAAACAUCUCAAAAGCUAUCGUGGACUAACAUGAGCUCAAUUUAAGAAAAUACCUGAAUUGCUUAAUACACAAAAAUAUCCUUAUUUUUAUUCUAUAGGUCAUUGAACAAGUUAUUAGCAGAGAGAAGAAAUAUAUGUGAUAAAGAACAAGAAAGUUUACCGAUGAUUCUCUUGCAAGUUUUGUAGUUGUUGCCUCAGCACUGCCGCUUCCCUUUGCCAAAACUGCUAAGAAGAAAAAAUAUUUCUUACAUUUUGGAUUAUCAAGAACAAGAACAACAUGCCCAGUGUGAUCCCACAUGUGGGUUUUGGAGAAUGUAUGGUGUACGCAGACCUUACCCCUACCUUGUGUGAGGUAGAGAGGUUGUUUUCAAUACACCCUUGGCUCAAGAAAAGAAUUUUCAAAAUAGGUUUAAAAAAUACAAGAGUAAAAAAGUUAUGAUGAAAAUACUGAAACAAAGAAAAUUAUUGCCAGCAAAAUAGUAAAGAUAAUCGAAAUAAAAGAAACACCAGUUGUAUAAAAUUGAGGAAUAAAAUAAUAAUACUAGGAUAAUAAUACUAAUACUGAUAAAGAGAAGAGGGUGCUCUAAACUAGAACCACUGCUCUCCCGCAAAAAAAGAGAGAAAUCGCUUGACUACCUGCUAAUCUUCUACUCUAAUCCGCGGCCUCCAAGCUCUCCUAUCUAGGGUUAUGUCUUCGGUGGGCUGAAGAUGUGUCAUGUCCUGUCUAAUCAUCUCUCCCCAGUUCUUCCUCGGUCUACCUCUACCUCUCCUAAGACCUAUCAUUGCCAACCUUUCGCACCUCCGCAUUAGGGCAUCUGUGUUCCUCCUAUUCACAUGCCCGAACCAUCUCAACCUCGCUUUAAGGAUCUUGUCCAUCAUGAGGGCCACUCUUACCUUGUCCCACAUAUCUUCUUUCCUAAUCUUAUCUUAUGCUCACACAUCCUUCUAAGCAUCUUCAUUUCCGCUUCUUGCAUUUUCUGAACGUGUGAGUUCUUGACUAGUCAACACUCUGCUCCGCAUUUUGGAUUAUCAUAGGAGACAUUAAUGGAUAUCGCUGCAUGCUUUGAAAACUAGGUGCAAUAUCAAUAGUAAACAAAGCUUAGAUGUAAUGGGUUCUAUUUAGAUUAAUGUAUAGCCGUUCCCUUCCUUGCGGUCCAAGAAAUAGAUCCAUGUAUAACCUCAAGAUUGUGUAUUUUAAUUUAUUAGCCCUUUUAAAUUAGGGGGAAAAACAAAAUGAGCUAGGGUUACUUUCUUGAGGUUGCAUCCUGUCAAUGAUGAAAAAAGAAGGAAAAAUGAAAUACACUAGCUUAUGGUUCCGCUCCCCUCUAUUUCACUAGCUAACAUAAAUAAAAAUAUCAUUUCCUUUGUGUUAUCCCAAGGAUUGGAUCUGGUUAAGAAUCGCUGUAUACUCCUUAUGAAUGUCACUUCUCUUUUAUAAGAUUAAAAGGGAAAAGGAAGAACUUGAAUUCUUUUGAUUUUAGUUUUAAAUGUGGAGACACUUCUUGUGGUUAAUUUUUUUUCAAGAAGUAAAAAUUUUCAAAAAGAAGAAUCUGGUAUAAAUUAGACAAAUUCAAAAUAAUAGAUGCAUCAAAUAUGAUUAGAGGACGCAGCAUAUGAAACCUUACUGAUCUACUUUGGCUUAGAGACAACUUUAUCUUAAAAAAGACUUUGUAGACAUGCUGUCAAUUCUUGUUUCUUGAUUGCCUCAUUGAUAGGUUUCUCCUCUUUCUCUUACAUUGAUGAAAUGGUAGUGUCGUUUUUAAUAACUAAAACUUGAACUUUUUUCUUUUAAGCUAGUUCAGAUUAGGAUUUUGGAAGUUCUCUGGUUCAGGCGCAAAGUUCGACAUUUGGGAAUUGAAGGGGAUUCGAGUCUCAAACAUUAGUAGAUAACAUUAGAGAGUCAAAAAUACACUGACAAAGAGAACAUUGUUGCUGUGUCUGUGAAUCAGCUGCUUUCCAGAGUGACUCUUUGACCGUUUUCUUCUGUAUCUCCUCACAUUGAUGAAAAUGGGUGUAGAAGAGGAUUUCUACUUUUGGUACAAAGGUCGACAUGUAGGAAUAGAAGAGGAUUUGAGUCUUAACAUGACUAGGACACAUCAAGAUGUUGACCAUGCAACCAAGCCAGGUUGAAUUCAAUUUUUGUCAUUUUCGUGGAAGACAUAUUGUAGAUUUAGCUACAAGACUUCUUCUGCAUAGCACUAACAAUUUGAUGCAUCUCUUAGCAUGGACCCUAUUAUUGACUGGUUGCCCUGAUUAAUACAAUGCCUUGAUAUGGAUUUGCUGUAGAGUGGCUUGAGUGAUGUUAAUUAACAGCUCCUAUAUUUUGUGGUAAAUUACUCCUACAAACUUGUGAAGAAUUCUUCAAACCAAUGGGUUUGAAUGACAUUUCAUAGGGGAUUCAAAGUUUUGAAGUGAAAGAGAUAGCCACAAGGCAUCUUUUUUAUAUUUGUUGCUUCCUACCUUCAAAAGUUUUGCUCCACAAUAUGCCAUCAGCGAUAGAAAUGUAAGUUAUAGUUGUUUUGGUAGCCUUGAAGUUGAUGGCCAUUCUGGUGUGUGGUACUGCAUGGAGGAUGCAAAUUCAACGUUCUGCUUCGUAAAUGAGUUCUUACAGUUGCCGCAUAGUUACUCUAUGCUAUACUAUCAUAUGUUAUUCAAACCUCGGUCCUAAUUGUGCUAUAAUUUGUUUGUAACUUCCUUCUAUGCUUUGCACCAUAUGUGGGAUUUUUACAAUUGGAUCUAGCUUAAUUGACUGAGAAUAAUCCUACUGAAUAGAUGAAAUAGGACUCCACCAUCUAAUAGGUCCACAAGACUGAAUUUCCCCUCUUUGUAUACAGUUUUUAGUUCAUAGGAAGAGUUUGUUUCUUCAUUUACCAUCUCCUCUUGUACCUUUUAUUAUCAAAGUGAAAUAUGUGAAAGAAGAAUAAAAGAUUUGAUGCCUAAUGUUAUUGAUGGCUUUUUGGUAUAGGUUACAACAACAACAAUUACCCUGUAAAACAACAAUUGAUGGUGUACCUUACCCCUACCCAGGGGAGUAGAGAGGCUGUUUCUGAUAUACCCUCACCAGAAAAUAGAUGAAAAGCAAAAACAAUAAUCAGUAAAUAAGGCCCGGAAUUAUGAAAAACGGAAGAAUAGUGUGAACACAACAUUAACCGCUAGCCGUCUAAGACAAAACUCUAUCAGACUAGCCUCACACCUGUUACGGAGUAGAAAAAUGCUUGACUACCCCCUAACCUACAAUCCUAAUGCUCGACAUCAAGGGCCAUGUCCUCGAAAAUCUGAAGCUACGCCAUAUCCUGCCUGAUCACCUCUCCCUAAUACUUCUUAGACUGCCCUCUACCUCUUCUCGUACUCGUCAAAGCCAACUGCUCACUCCUUACCGUGGCAUCUAGGCUUCUCCUCCGCACGUGCCCGAACCAUCUGAGCCUCGCUUCCCGCAUCUUGUCAUCCAUAGGAGCCACACCCACCUUCUCCCGAAUAUCUUCAUUCCUAAUUUUAUCGAUCCUAGUGGACCCGCAUAUCCACCUCAACAUCCUCAUUUCUGCUAUUUUCAUCUGCUGGAUAUGUGAGUUCUUAACUGGCCAACACUCUGCCCCAUACAACAUGGGCGGUCUAACCACCGCUCUAUAAAACUUGCCUUUGAGUAUCGGUGGCACUUUCUUGUCACGCAGGACUUUAGAAGCUAACCUCCAUUUCAUCCAUCCAACCAAUAUACGGUGUGUGACAUCCUCGUCGAUCUCCCCAUCCCGCUAGAUAACCGACCCAAGAUACUUGAAACUGCCUCUUUUAGGAAUGACCUGCGAUUCAAGCCUCACGUCCAUGCCCGAUUCCCUCAACUCGGCGCUGAACUUGCACUUCAGGUAUUUUGUCUUAGUCCUGCUCAACUUGAAACCCUUAGACUCUAGGGCCUGUCUCCAAACCUCCAGCCUCUCGUUAACGCCUCACGUCUCAUCAAUUAGAACUAUGUCGUCAGCAAAUAACAUACACCAUGACACCUCCCCUUGAAUAUGAUGUGUCAGUGCGUUCAUCACCAGGGCAAAUAAGAACAGGCUAAGCGCAGAUCCUUGAUGUAACCCGAUAACAACCGAAAAAUGCUUUGAGUCAUCUCCCACUGUCCUAACCAGAGUCUUAGCUCCAUCAUACAUGUCUUUAAUCGCCCUAAUGUAAGCAACCGGCACACCUUUUGCCUCCAGGCAUCUCUAAUGAACCUCCCUACGGACCUUGUCAUACACUUUCUUCAGGUCAAUAAACAUCAUGUGUAGAUCCUUCUUCCUAUCCCUGAACUGUUCCACUAACCUCUUAUAUCUUCCGUAGUUGAACGACCCGGCAUGAACCCAAACUGGUUGUCAGAUAUAGACACCGUCCUCAUCACCCUNNNNNNCNNNNNNNNNNNNNUCCUUUGUUCUUGUACAACGGUACCAUCGUACUCCACCUCCACUCAUCCGGCAUCCUUUUCGUCCUGAAAAUAACAUUAAACAGUCCAGUCAGCCACUCCAAGCCUGCUCUACCCACACACCUCCAAAAUUCUACCUGAAUUUUGUUUGGCCCGGUUGCUCUUCCCCUACUCAUCUUACGUAUAGCCCCCACAACCUCCUCAACCUUAAUGCGCCUAUAGUACCUAAAGUCUCGGUGACUCUCAAAAUGCCCCAAUUCACCUAGCACAAUAUCCCGGUCCCCCUCUUCAUUCAGAAGUUUAUGAAAGUAAGUCUGUCAUCUCCGCUUAAUCUGAGCCUCUCCCAUCAAUACUCUACCGUCAUCGUCUUUGAUGUACCUCACUUGGUCCAGAUCUUGAGCCUUCCUCUCUCUCCCCUUGCCCAGCCGGAAUAACUUCUUAUCCCCACCUUUGUCUCCCAAUUCCUCGUAUAGACGCCCAAACGCUAUAGUCUUAGCCUCUGUGACCACCAAUUUCUCCUCCUUCCUAGCUACCUUAUACCUCUCCAUGUUCGCUUCUCUCUCCUCCUCUCCUGUGCUCCCUACUAACUUCAGGUACGCCGCCUUCUUCGCUUCCACUUUACCUUGGAUCACUCCAUUCCACCACUAGUCGCAUUUGUGCCCGCCAGAGUAACCCUUCGAGACCCAUAACACCUCUCUUGCCACCUCCCUUGUACAGUUCGCCGUCAUCGUCGACAUAGCGCUCGCGUCCCACUACUCCUCUAGGCUCGCAUAGACGAUAACCUCUCUUCCAACUCCUGAGGUUUAUCCUUAGUCAAGGCUCCCCACCUGAUCAUCGUUUAUUGCUAGUAUUGGUUAUGUUGAGGCCGACCUAGACCAACACAAAGUAAUGGUACUCAUUCUUCGUCUAUGCAUAUGUACGUUGAAGAUUUAAUCUAAUCUUAAAUAUUAAAAACUUGUUAUUUUAUUUUUCCAGCUACAUUUUUAUUAGAAAACUUACAAAAGUAAGACUCUUGAUUUUGUGUUCUAGUAUCAUUUCAUUCUGACGCUCUUGAGAUACCUCAUGGAGUUUAUUCUCCUCCUUGCUUCUGAAGAUGAGUUGAACACAAGCCUAUAACAUGAUCUAGGUUUUCAUGGUUUUGGACUUCAGCUUUGGAACUUCUAUUUAUUUUCAUAAUUGAGAUUUGGUAGACUUAUGGUAAGUGAGAGGAGUUGAAAGCAGUGGCGGAUCCAGAAUUUUCAUCAAGGGGUGUCAUAAUAUAAAUAAUUAGAUAUAUCGAAAAGUGAAGGAGAGUCAACGUAUAGUAAAUAUACAUAAAAUAAAAAAAGUUAUCUAGCAAAAUAGUGUAAUUUUCCGGCGAAUGGGUGUCGCUUGACAUCCCUUGCUUCAAUGUGGCUCCGCCACUGGUUGAAAGUUAUUUAAAAUGCUAAGAGGACCGUGUUAAGGUGGCAUUUGACUUAUUAGGGGGAGGAAAAUUGGAAAACUAUUCUGCAUGUCUUUAGUAUUUUGGCUUGAACAUGAUGUAAUACUGUUGGAUUUAUUAUCUCCUGUAUUUCAAUGUUGUAUUUCUGGGGAUUCUGCUGAACUUAUCCCAUGCUAUUAUUCAUAGAGUUAAGACUGUAAUUUAUCUGCAAUAGAGUUAAAGCACAGGGAUAGACAAGUAUGUGAUCAACACUUUGUUGAUAUCUAUGUAGAAUUUACAUUCUUCAUUUUAUACCAGAAAGAGAUAUUUUACAUGCUUCAAAUUAUCUUUGUCUUGUUUCCCAACUUGCAAUGAAGCUAAUGGUAGACGACCGCUCCUAUAUGUUGAUGGUGGGAUUAUGUGGAGAGAGGCUACAUCUCAUCCCACCCAUGUUAUAAUAGUUGGUAGUGCUUGAUAACGUGAAGUUUAGCAUUAGCACUUUUGACAAAAGGUAAGCAAAAGGUUAUGUGAUAAGUGAAGAGCUUAUCUACAUACGGAAAGAAAUCAUCUAGAGUAGGAUUGAACAGAGAUAUUGGGUCUCUUUGAGGUGGCAAAACUGAACCAUGGAUACCAUUGCCCCACUCUAUGGUAACCGAGGCUUCUAGUUGAGGUUUCAUGACAUUUAGGCAACUAUUAGUGGCUUUUGUUAAGAAUAAUACAUAAGUUAGUGUCGUUUAGAUGCAUGUUGGGGAGGAAGGAUAUCUGUCAGAUUAUUAUUUAGGCUCUUUAGUUGUUGGUCAUAUUCAGUUUGCUUCAUUUUUGUAGAGUGAUAGUAUGGCAUGUGAUGAAAAUUGGUUUGUAGAAUGGAUUCCUUCUGGUCAGAGGUAACUAUAUAGAGUCUAACCACAUCUAAGGCGGAAGGUUUAUCUGGUUAUAGUUCUUCAAUGUUUUAGCCAUAUCCUUGGUUCUUAUGUUGCUGUAUUUGCAUAAUAUGUAUUGCUUAGGUUUAGGGGUGGCAAAUAGGUGGGUCGGAUCGGAUAUGAGCAGGUCGAAAAUGGGAAUGCAAAAAUGGAUAAAUUAUCCGACCUAACCCAUAUUUAAUACGGAUAGAAAAUGGGUUAACCGNNNNNNNNNNNNNNNNNNUAAACUCAUUAGUUAUCUAUUGGUUAUACAUUAGUUAUUCAUUUUCUAAGUGGAUAAUAUGAUUUUUAUCCAUAUUUGACCCGUUUUUAAAAAAUUCAUUAUCCAAUCCAUUUUUUUAGUGAAUAAUAUGGAUGGAUAACUGUUUUUUAAUCCAUUACCGCUACUUAGGUUCAUGACAUAUGGGCAACAUUUUUUUCUUGUGCAGUAAGAAAUUAGCCGUGCCCCAGAUGGAGAUUAUAACACAGCUCUAGAUGAGAUCUUCUGUUCUUGGAUUUUGUGUACCGUAGGAAGUGUGUGCUAUGAGCAUGAGUGCAAUGUCAUGAUGGCAGUAUUAACCCCUCAGCAGAAUGCUUAAUUAUGCCUUAAAUUAUGUUGACCUAUGCAGUCUUAUUAUUAAAAGGAGUCAAGUUCUGCUUCCGUGAUCAAUCUUACGAGAAAUUACCUUCCAAUACCAUAUCCAAAGUUCCUUGCUGCAC
rnacentral:lncRNA from 1 species